rnacentral:rRNA from 1 species
AUUGAACGCUGGCGGCAGGCCUAACACAUGCAAGUCGAGCGGAUGAAGGGAGCUUGCUCCUGGAUUCAGCGGCGGACGGGUGAGUAAUGCCUAGGAAUCUGCCUGGUAGUGGGGGAUAACGUCCGGAAACGGGCGCUAAUACCGCAUACGUCCUGAGGGAGAAAGUGGGGGAUCUUCGGACCUCACGCUAUCAGAUGAGCCUAGGUCGGAUUAGCUAGUUGGUGGGGUAAAGGCCUACCAAGGCGACGAUCCGUAACUGGUCUGAGAGGAUGAUCGGUCACACUGGAACUGAGACACGGUCCAGACUCCUACGGGAGGCAGCAGUGGGGAAUAUUGGACAAUGGGCGAAAGCCUGAUCCAGCCAUGCCGCGUGUGUGAAGAAGGUCUUCGGAUUGUAAAGCACUUUAAGUUGGGAGGAAGGGCAGUAAGUUAAUACCUUGCUGUUUUGACGUUACCAACAGAAUAGGCACCGGCUAACUUCGUG